rnacentral:tRNA from 1 species
AGGGGUGUAGCUCAGUUGGUAGAGCAUCGGUCUCCAAAACCGAGGGUCCACGGUUCGAGUCCGUGCACCCCUGCCA